GGGGAGCCAAGCUAAUGAGAAGACAGAUCGUAGCUCUGGCGAAGGUCCAGGCCACGGCGGUUCAAGGAGGCGGCCGGGCUGGUGUUGACACUGACCGGUGGAAGGCCAGGAGGUUGCCAUGAGAACGGCCGUCAGCCCUCAUAAACAGCCUCUUGCUCUCCGCCGCAUCCCCCGGGCUGGUUGUCAGGUUUACGAUCGGUGGGAGUUUCUGCCCCGGAGACAGGCUGUGCUGCCGGACGAAGUGGAGAGGAGGCAUCCAAACAGCAAAUUUCACUGAAAAAAAACCCAACAAAACCUGGAGGAUCAAGCUUGUGUCAAACUAGCUGGAGCCAUAGCCCAAGGACCAACAAGAAGUCGUGGCUUAGGUUUGAGGAGAAUUAAUAGUUUGGGGUGAGUGUUGUAAUUUUCCAGAAGCGAUAGCCCUGCUCUGUGCUUCCGACGCCCUGAGAACCACGGCUUGGACUUUGCCAAAGUCCCUUGUUACAAGAAUCCCACCGGACGUAGCCUCGUUAUUUAUUCACGGACCAUUCCUCAGACUUUCGAACCAUCUUUCACCGAGCAGUCAGUCGUUCUUUCUACUUCACGUAAGCCACAGAGAUAAGUUUAUCACGAAUUAUAUCAGGUAUAGAGCAAAGUAAGCGAUUUCUUCCCCUACCCUGGGCAGGCGGAGUUGAGACCAUGUCAUCUGGAACAAUGAUAAAC